GUGGGUAUAGCUCAGUGGUAGAGUGCAAGCUUAGCAUGCACGAGGUCCUGGGUUCAAUCCCCAGUACCUCCA
rnacentral:tRNA from 1 species